rnacentral:rRNA from 2 species
CUGAAAUCAAGUGUGACGACCCCCUGAAUUU